UUCAUUCAUGAAUAUUUCAAUUUACUUUACCCACCUUUCAACAGCUUUCCGACAUUGCAACUUCCUGUAAGGUAGUACUCUGUUGUCGUGUUGCGCCAUUGCAAAAAGCUCAGAUUGUGGAUCUUAUCAAAAGCCACAUUGAUGACAUGACACUAGCUAUUGCUGACGGGGCUAAUGAUGUUUCGAUGAUCCAGAUGGCGGAUGUUGGUGUUGGAAUAUUUGGUAAGGAAGGACGAAAGGCUUUGAUGGCAUCAGAUUUUGCUAUGGGCCAGUUCCGGUUUCUGAAAUGAUUACUGAUGGUGCAUGGUCACUGGAAUUAUCAGCUCGUUGGUUACUUAGUUCUUUAUAACUUCUAUCCCAAUGUUGUUUCUGUGUUGAUGCUAUUCUGGUAUGUACCAUUUUUGGUUGUGAAUCUGGGCUUUUUGAAUUUCCUGCGUGCAUUGCUCAAAAAAAGGGGAAAUGUUCUAGGUAAUUUUCCUACAAGUCACUGUUCAAAAGAAAUUGUCACUUAGGUUUGUAUCUUUUCAUUUCUACCUAUUAAGUUAGCAAACUUAAUGUUGAAUCAAAUUUGACCAUUUUAUCUUAGAUCUUUGCAAGUGAUAAUUCAAGUUGUACAUCUUUUCAUGAGAAAUUUAAAAUCAAUGCGGUAUAUUGGCACUUGACUAUCAGGAAAUAUUAAGCUGUUUACUUUUCUUUUUCGUACUGCUUAAUGUAUUCCAUAGAUGUUAAUAUUAUAGUUUUCAUAGGCUAUAGAAUUGCUAUUUUACAAGAUUUAAAAUUGCCAUCCAAGGAUUUGCAAGUGGUAGCUUAGAUGCAUAUGCACAACAUGUUGGCAUGUUUGUUGCAGAUGGAGGGGAAUGCUUUAUAGCUCAAAGAUAUGCAAAAAUCAUGGGGCUUUAUGGGAGUUUGUUGGUCCUCUCAUAGUUUUCCAAAUCUAGCAUUGAGGUUGUUUUCACUCUUAGCCCCUUUAAUUUUUUUUAAUGGCUCUUUGAUGCUUAGCGUUUUAGCAUGAUGGUUUAGAUAUCUACCCCGGAAAAGAAAAAUAUAUUAAUCUUUUGCUGCAGUGUCCAGAGUUCCUGACAUGCUUGCUUAGAAUACGUGGCACAGUUUUGCUAUUACUUUUUUUGUUGAGCUAUAAAGCCCAAUUGUUGUGUAAUAUUGAACAGUUUUGCUAGUACUUUUUUAUCCAGCAACGAGCGGGAAAAAAUCGAAAGAUUUGAGGCUAAGCAUGCAGACACUUUUGGAGAAGGAUUUAGAAUCAGAGGUAAGACUAAUUUUUAUUUCCAAGAUCGAUUAGAUGCUUAUAGUAUAUAUAGUCUGUUGUUUCAAGAUGGUUCAAUCUAUGAACCACAGUUUCUGGUUCUUCUCUUUUGGUGAGUUUCAAUCACCCAUUUUUUUAGAUCCUUGUUCUAACUUUGCAAUUGUGCUGGUUCUAACUUAAAACCAUUCCCUCUCUGCUUUCCCCCGUGAUGGAUUCAGUGUCUGCUUGCUUAGCCUCAAAUCUUUCGAUUUUUUCCCAUUCGUUGCUGGAUAAAAUCUGGCUUUUCCUUCCAUUUUGAAUCAAAUAUUUCUUUUCUUUUCGUUUUUGAUCAAUGCCCAUUUACCCUCAAGUUCUAAGGGAGGUGUUUCCCUUUUAAUAAUUUUGUUUUCGAUGUUUUUCGUUUAAUCAUUGUUGGAGAAUGGCUUGUUUAAGUCGUUUGAUGAGAUCGUUAGGAGGCAAUUGGAUCCCAUUAUUGGUUUGGUUUCGUUUGAUAGCAGGUAAUUCUGAUUUCUGUUCGUUUCUUGCUGUUUUUCUUGCAUUAUUUUUGCUCUGGAGUGAUUCCUUAUCAAUGAGAUUCCUUAUCAGUUCAAUGAUUUCGAGUUGUUGUGUAAACUAAUAUCUUUUAACACUUCUACAAUGCUCAGAUCUUUCCUUCUUUUUCGCUUUUCAUCAAUGCAAAUACUGGUGACGGAGUUACAGAAGCCAUGUUUUUUGCUCCACUCGAUUACAAAGCAUCUUCUUUCAUCGGAAUAAUCUAUAUUUGAUUUUGAGAGUUGGGAGCUGAGAAAAUAGAAACUGCAAUGGACACGGAAAAAACAAUUGUUCCUCUUGAAGCCAUUAAUAAUGAGACUGUUCAUCUGGAAAACAUACCCGUUGAAGAGGUUUUUGAAAAGCUGAAAUGCAAAAAAAAAGGUUUAACCUCUGAUGAAGUGCAGAGGAGUCUUGACCUUUUCGGUUACAAUAAACUUGAAGAGAAAAAAGAAAAUAUACUCAAAUUCUUGAGAUUUAUGUGGAACCCUCUAUCAUGGGUUAUGGAAACAGCCGCUAUUAUGGCCAUCGGUCAUGCACAUGGAGGGGUUAAAAGUGAUGGUUUUUCCAGUUAUAAGGACUGGUCGUCAUGACAAUUGGGAUGAUGCAGAAGGAUAUUGCUUGAAUGUGGAUUCACAGUGGAGUUUAUCGUCCCAGAUUCUUACAAUCUCUUUUAUAUGGCAACUUUUUCCAUACUUAAAAGUGUGAUAUGUAUAAUGAACGGAAGAUUGAAUUGAAAGCGAUGGCAGACCGAAUUAUUAGUAUGCGGAAACAACUAUUUGACGCUUCAACUGCUAAAGGUUUUGCUUAAUCCAUUCUUUCAAUAGUCUAUAUCUGUGCCCUAUUUAUGUUUAUGGUAGGGUUGAACUAAGCUUGGUAGGGUUCAAAUACUAUCCCACAGAACUCAUCACUCGUCACACCAACGUGACGAGUUUCAACUGCAUUUUAACUUUUGCC